UAGUAGGCUUGGUUAUUGGUGCUUUAUUACUAGCAUGCAUUGUAGUUUUGAUAAUUGUUCUUGUGAGAAGGCGUUUAUUCGUAAGUGGGCCAAAAGAGAAGAUAAGAAAUAAACUCCAGGAAAACGACUAUAUUGGGAGUCAAGUUAUAGCUUUACAACUAAGCGCUUAUCAAUCCAGCCAUAUGCAAAAUGAUGGCAAAAGUAGCAAUACUAGUGUUCACGGUUAUGAGAGUGAACCUGUGAUUGCUAAGAUCCACAAUGUAGAUAAAGAAAGAGUCCAGACACCUGAAUAUGCAGUCCAUCGUAACACAACAUUAUCAGAUAAUCGUACUAUAAAUGACGAGGAUUAUUCGAUCGUCGAUCAGACAGCUGAAACACGUUUUAAUGGGACUAUAGACGACGGAACUGGAACAAGAGAAAGUUAUAUGGUAUUCAAUCCAUCCGAAAAGGGUUUCAAUAGAACAAUAUUGUCUAAAACUCCUACAGGUUAUGAGUUUGCAAAGCCUGUUACGGAUAC